CAGAGGUUUAUUGGCUGGACACAGCUGUGGCUCCUGAGGCGCCGCCACUCGUCUGACGUCCGUCACAGAGGUCACCCCCCCUCGACCCUGAAGGGUGGUUGGAUCCAGCUGCAGUGGAAGCUCAGGACGAACUGGAGCCCGGGACCAAACAUUUGGAUUUCACCUGCUUUUCCUCCUCCAUUACGACCUCUUUGGAGAGAAUCGCUUGUUUUGAUCGUGUUUGGCCUGCUGCGCCAAGAAGCAGAGGAAUCCAGAGCCCCAUGAAGAGCGCAGACUCAGCUAUGGGCCUGGCUCUGGGUCGGUUCAGGAAGCAGAGGAAUCCAUUGCUUUAGAGUGACAGGCUCACUGCGGUGGCACUGGCUCAGUGUGGCGCAGCAGUGAGAUGAAACGCCGUGGUUCCACAUGCUUCUGCUGCAGCUCCCUCCACCGGACAUCCAGACGGCGGCUCCUCAUCCCCACGUCACCUGUGACUCUUCAGCCAAACGCUCAGCCACCAUGUUCAGAGCAACAAGUGAAAACACAGACUUGUGUGUGAGGAGCUUCAUCAUGAUUGGUGACUGACGUGAGUUUAGCUGAGGUGCACCUCACCACCCAAACUCAAACGCAGGCCAGGGAGCGGCGCUGCGGCGGCGGAGGAGGAGCCUUCAUCCAUGUGACGCGCCUGCCUGCCUCGGGGUCAGCAGCAGGACACCAGCCGGCACAUGGAAGGUUUGAACCUUUUCACUCCACAAUCAGAGAGUUGGCGCCGAAGCUCAUUGUUGGAGUUGAUGCAUC